GUGAAUCAUCGAAUCUUUGAACGCAAAUUGCACUCUCUUCGGAGAGUAUGCCUGUUUGAGGGUCAGUAUUAAUAAAAAAUCGGUUUGGUUGCAAAUUGUGACGUUUCCGGAGUUUGGGCUAUCUUAACUUUUUUGGUUAAGGGGCUUAAAAUUGACCUUUUUUGCGCAUUUUUAGACGUACAUAAAUUUUUUUUUUUUUUUCGUUUAUUUUUAAUGCCAAAAUUUUAUUAGAUUGGAUCGCCU
rnacentral:misc_RNA from 1 species